rnacentral:lncRNA from 1 species
CGUACCUAAUUUUCUAAUAUAGACCAGGCCUUCUUCCCUGGUUAUUGAUCAGGCCAUUAGGAGUCCCUUCCCACAAGAGCUGUUGGUAUGGUGAAUUUCUACCUCAUUGUCUACUUGGUUACAAAGUGAUACACUAAAAUGAGUUUUUCUCCAUUCUCUCAGAGGGAAGCAGGAGAAACUGUGUAUGGAACGGUUCCACUGGAGAGAUUGACCUGGAUCCUGUCAGGCAGUAGUCCUCUCUAUGGUGGUGGAAAGAGGAGAGGGAGAGAACCAUCAGCCUCUCUCGAAGGCUCAUGAUCUAGCCAGCUCUAGGAGAAGGAAGAGAAAGCAAGAUGGCAAGGUGGUUGCUUUUAAAGAAGAUGAGGGUGAGAGAAGAGGACUAUGUAAUCUCGACAAUACUAAGAAAAAUGACACAUUGCAGAAUUAAAAGCACAAGGUUUGUAGCAGAGCGUAAUUACAGAGAGAUUGGACCAGUGUCUGAAACUUUCUGAAGAAGUAAGAAUGUCUGCACCAGUCCCGACUGAACUAGGGUGGAAAGAAGGCUGACAGGGGUGUGCUUAGAUUUUAGAACUGAAGGCACAGUCAGGUUUGCAGAUCUCAGAAAGGAGGCUGUACAACAGAGAGAGAGAGAGACUCAGACCAGGUCUAAACUAUAAACUUUUGCUGGCGUAGCUAUGUCAGAAGGGGAUGUGAUGAGUGGUGAUUUGCCACUGACAUAGCUGUGCCAGCUAAAGCCCCUUAGUGUAGACCUAGUUAUACCAGUAAAACUGUACCUUUGUAGCAUGUUUUGUUCGUGGGUGGAAUGAAAUAAGCUGUACUGGCAAAAGUACAUUUUUACCAUUAUAAACUGCAUCCACACUAGAGGCAAUGUAGAGGAUAUGGCAUAGAUCUUAACCUCUUUGCUCAAUUCAAUCAUGUUGUGGUAACUUUCAGUGUCUAACAAUGGCAAUUCAUUCUAUAGAGAAGAAAUACAUUCAGAUAGCAGCUUCCUAGUGAAACACUGACUAUUAAUGUGUUUUAUUCACCUCUCUUAUAGUGAUGAAAACAUUUGCUAUGGGUCUCACAGAAUGUGGUUCUUGUGGCCUGCUAGGUGGUGGCUGUGGUAACGUUGAAAUUUCUCAUCACUCUGUAAUGAUGUAGGAUAUAUAUAGGCAUACUGCAUCUCAUACUCUCCACCACCCAGUUUUCCUGACUUCCCGACCCAGCCAGAAUUAAAACAAAUGGUUGCCUCUCUUGCUAGUUACCCAUGCUGCUUCCAGGCUCUGGGGCUUAAGUGAAACUAAUGGCAAAGCCAAAGCCUGUCAGAGGAGCUAAACAAUGAGUGAUAUAAACUGUUUCAAAAGAAAAUAAAGACAAAAAGAGAAGUAUUAGCCUUAUAUGC